AAAUUGAAGAGUUUGAUCAUGGCUCAGAUUGAACGCUGGCGGCAGGCCUAACACAUGCAAGUCGAACGGUAGCACAGAGAGCUUGCUCUCGGGUGACGAGUGGCGGACGGGUGAGUAAUGUCUGGGAAACUGCCUGAUGGAGGGGGAUAACUACUGGAAACGGUGGCUAAUACCGCAUAACGUCGAAAGACCAAAGAGGGGGACCUUCGGGCCUCUUGCCAUCAGAUGUGCCCAGAUGGGAUUAGCUUGUUGGUGAGGUAACGGCUCACCAAGGCGACGAUCCCUAGCUGGUCUGAGAGGAUGACCAGCCACACUGGAACUGAGACACGGUCCAGACUCCUACGGGAGGCAGCAGUGGGGAAUAUUGCACAAUGGGCGCAAGCCUGAUGCAGCCAUGCCGCGUGUAUGAAGAAGGCCUUCGGGUUGUAAAGUACUUUCAGCGGGGAGGAAGGUGUUGUGGUUAAUAACCGCAGCAAUUGACGUUACCCGCAGAAGAAGCACCGGCUAA
rnacentral:rRNA from 1 species